UACGUAGGGAGCAAACGUUGUUCGGAUUUACUGGGCGUAAAGCGCGUGUAGGCGGCUUUGCAAGUCGGAUGUGAAAGCCCACGGCUCAACCGUGGAAGUGCAUCCGAAACUGCAUGGCUCGAGUCUCGGAGAGGAAGGUGGAAUGCUUGGUGUAGAGGUGAAAUUCGUAGAUAUCAAGCAGAACACCUGCGGCGAAGGCGGCCUUCUGGACGAUGACUGACGCUGAGACGCGAAAGCGUGGGGAGCAAACAGG
rnacentral:rRNA from 1 species